GCACGACCCACCAAUUUAACAUCAAACUCAGAUGUUGAACGUGAAGGAUAACGUUGCGUCAGCAACGGCCCGUAGGGCGAGGCGAAGCCGAGUCAUCCUGCACGACCCACCA
rnacentral:sRNA from 3 species